ACGGCGAGUGAAGCGGCAACAGCUCAAAUUUGAAAUCUGGCCUCUCGGGGUCCGAGUUGUAAUUUGUAGAGGAUGUUUCGGGUACCGCUCCGGUUUAAAUUUCUUGGAACAGAAUGUCAAAGAGGGUGAGAAUCCCGUCUUGGACCGGUGGUAGGGCCUAUUGUGAAACUCCUUCGACGAGUCGAGUUGUUUGGGAAUGCAGCUCAAAAUGGGUGGUAAAUUUCAUCUAAAGCUAAAUAUUGGCCAGAGACCGAUAGCGCACAAGUAGAGUGAUCGAAAGAUGAAAAGCACUUUGAAAAGAGAGUUAAACAGUAUGUGAAAUUGUUGAAAGGGAAGCGCUGGCAACCAGACUUGCGCGCGGCGGUUCCCCCUUCCUUUUGGUUGGGUUACUCCGCCGUGUCCAGGCCAAUAUCGGUUUUGGGGGUCGGUCAAAGGCGUUGGGAAUGUACCUACCCUUCGGGCGUAGACUUAUAGCCCAGCGUGUCAUGCGACCUCCCGGGACCGAGGAACGCGCUUCGGCUCGGAUAUUGGCGUAAUGGUUGUCAGCGACCCGUCUUGAAACACGGACCAAGGAGUCUAACAUCUAUGCGAGUGUUUGGGUGUCAAACCCGGAACGCGUAAUGAAAGUGAACGGAGGUAGGAAGCCUUUUGGCUGCACUAUCGACCGAUCCUGAUGUCUUCGGAUGGAUUUGAGUAAGAGCAUAAAUGUUGGGACCCGAAAGAUGGUGAACUAUGCCUGAAUAGGGUGAAGCCAGAGGAAACUCUGGUGGAGGCUCGCAGCGGUUCUGACGUGCAAAUCGAUCGUCAAAUUUGGGUAUAGGGGCGAAAGACUAAUCGAACCAU
rnacentral:rRNA from 1 species